UUUUAAAAUAAAUAAUUGAAUUUAAGUUUUGCAUAAAAACUUGCAAGCAUCCUUAAGGGACGAGAAGACCCUGUGGAUUUUUAUUUGUUAAAAAGUAAAUUUUAUAAUAUUUUAUUUUUUAUUCAAAUUUGGUUGGGAUGACAGUAAAAUUAACUUUAUUAAAAAGAUAAUAUAUAGAUCCUUGUUAAGGAAAAAAGAAUAAAUUACCCCAGGGAUAACAGCGUAAUACUUUUGGACAGGACAAAUGGAUAAAAGUGUUUGCGACCUC
rnacentral:rRNA from 1 species